GAAGCUUGCUUCUCCUGGCGACGACCGGCGAACGGGUGAGCAACGCGUAUCCAACCUGCCCCGCGCCCGGGGACAGCCCUUGGAAAUGAGGAUUAACCCCCGAUAUGCGCGGAGACCGCAUGGUCUCCACGUGAAACUGGACGCGGGAUGGGGAUGCGUUGGAUUAGCUGGACGGCGGGGCAGCGGCCCACCGUGGCGACGAUCCAUAGGGGUUCUGAGAGGAAGGUCCCCCACACUGGCACUGAGACACGGGCCAGACUCCUACGGGAGGCAGCAGUGAGGAAUAUUGGUCAAUGGGCGAGAGCCUGAACCAGCCAAGUAGCGUGCAGGAUGACGACCCUACGGGUUGUAAACUGCUUUUGGGCGGGAAUAAAGAGGGGGGCGCGUCCCCCGUUGCAUGUACCGCCCGAAUAAGGACCGGCUAAUUCCGUGCCAGCAGCCGCGGUAAUACGGAAGGUCCGGGCGUUAUCCGGAUUUAUUGGGUUUAAAGGGAGCGCAGGCGGGCUGUCAAGCCAGCCGUAAAAUCGCGGGGCUCAACCCCGCUCAGCGGUUGGAACUGGCGGUCUUGAUUGCGGGAGAGGAAGGCGGAACUCGUGGUGUAGCGGUGAAAUGCAUAGAUAUCACGAAGAACCCCGAUUGCGAAGGCAGCCUUCCGGCCCGUCAAUGACGCUCAUGCUCGAAGGUGCGGGUAUCAAACAGGAUUAGAUACCCUGGUAGUCCGCACAGUAAACGAUGGAUGCUCGCGGUGCGCCCCUUGUGGGUACGCCGCCAAGGGAAACCGUUAAGCAUCCCACCUGGGGAGUACGCCGGCAACGGUGAAACUCAAAGGAAUUGACGGGGGCCCGCACAAGCGGAGGAACAUGUGGUUUAAUUCGAUGAUACGCGAGGAACCUUACCCGGGCUUGAAAUGUGCCUGACGGGUCCCAGAGACGGGACCUUCCUUCGGGCAGGCAUGUAGGUGCUGCAUGGUUGUCGUCAGCUCCCGCCGUGAGCUGUCGGCUUAAGUGCCAUAACGAGCGCAACCCCCACCGCCGGUUACCAUCGGGUAAUGCCGGGGACUCCGGCGGCACUGCCAUCGCAAGAUGCGAGGAAGGCGGGGAUGACGUCAAAUCAGCACGGCCCUUACGUCCGGGGCCACACACGUGUUACAAUGGGGGGCACAGCGAGCAGGCGCAUGCCGACAUGCUCUCGAAUCAUGAAAUCCCCUCCCAGUUCGGACUGGAGUCUGCAACCCGACUCCACGAAG
rnacentral:rRNA from 1 species